UNUGACUUGAGUGCAGAAGGGGAGAGUGGAAUUCCAUGUGUAGCGGUGAAAUGCGUAGAUAUAUGGAGGANCACCAGUGGCGAAAGCGGCUCUCUGGUCUGUCACUGACGCUGAGGCUCGAAAGCGUGGGUAGCGAACAGGAUUAGAUACCCUGGUAGUNCACGCCGUAAACGAUGAGUGCUAGGUGUUAGGCCCUUUCCGGGGCUUAGCGCCGGAGCUAACGCAAUAAGGACUCCGCCUGGGGAGUACGACCGCAAGGUUGAAACUCAAAGGAAUUGACGGGGGCCCGCACAAGCGGUGGAGCAUGUGGUUUAAUUCGAAGCAACGCGAAGANCCAUACCAGGUCUUGACAUCCCGAUGCUAUUCUUAGAGAUAGGAAGUUACUUCGGUACAUCGGAGACAGGUGGUGCAUGGUUGUCGUCAGCUCGUGUCGUGAGAUGUUGGGUUAAGUCCCGCAACGAGCGCAACCCUCAUUGUUAGUUGCCAUCAUUAAGUUGGGCACUCUAGCGAGACUGCCGGUAAUAAACCGGAGGAAGGUGGGGAUGACGUCAAAUCAUCAUGCCCCUUAUGACCUGGGCUACACACGUGCUACAAUGGUCGGUACAACGAGUUGCGAGCCGGUGACGGCAAGCUAAUCUCUGAAAGCCGAUCUCAGUUCGGAUUGGAGGCUGCAACUCGCCUCCAUGAAGUCGGAAUCGCUAGUAAUCGCGGAUCAGCACGCCGCGGUGAAUACGUUCCCGGGCCUUGUACACACCGCCCGUCACACCACGAGAGUUUGUAACACCCGAAGUCGGUGAGGUAACCUUUUAGGGGCCAGCCGCC
rnacentral:rRNA from 1 species